GCCUCGGCAUCAGCGUGCUC
rnacentral:snRNA from 1 species